ensembl:lncRNA
AAGCUGCAAAGCCUAUAAAAAUACAGUUAAAAGUUUAUAAUCUAUGCACCCCUUCACAUUUUCUAAAGCUGUCUAGUGGGCAAGAUGAGAGUCUUGGCUGGGCCGAUUCUGGUCCCCGGGCCUUAUGUUUAAUACACCUGCACAGCACUAUAGCACCAUCAAGGAUUGCUGUGAAAGACCCUUCUAUUAAAAAUGAAUAAAUAGAGGAGGGCUGUUGAACUUAACGUAAUCAGAUAAGGAGCCAUUCCUUCAUUUUCACUUUUACAGUCAGAUGUGGUAACAAACUUUUUCUAACAAGUUCACCGCAUAAUUUAAUGGUGGCGUUCUGGUAAGAGUUUCUUUCCACUGCCCCCUUGUGGCUUACAAAGGUAUGUUUAAUUACAUCUCCUGUCUUCUUUAGCGACAUUUUAAGAGCAUUUUUCUUUUGACAUUCCUUCUCAAAUCAUGAGUCAUUUUAAAACCUCUCAAAGACCAAAACUUUUACACCCACAGGUUGAGAGCAACACAGCCCCUCCCUCAUGGAGAAGAUGAAGGCUUGUUUCGCUCUUCCACAGCUUUAAAUCAUUUAUGACGGGCUGGAAUCUGGAUUCUCUUCUGAUUUUUGCUUGCCCUCCUUGACCUCCUAUCUUUAAUUAGAAAAUCAGAAAAUAUGACUUUCUGUUUUUUUAACUGCUCUACGUCACUGGUGAUUUUUUUUUUAUUUUUUAUUUAGUAUUACUUUUUGCAUCAUUGUGGCUGUGCAUAUGCCAACAAAUUCUGAAAAGUUUGAGCUUCUUGUCAAAUUCCCCAAAGCUCCCCACUACUUGCGCAACCAAAAUAAUGCCUCUGAGCAUCUGAAGCACACUCGAAACAGGCAAAAAUUUUCAGCAUAGUGUUGUAAUGGACUUAGCUAAUUUGCUAAAAUAUCAGGUGCUCCCUUUAUUACUGUCCCAGACAAUGUUAGUUUUAAACUCUUUAUUAGCAAACAGUAAUUAUCCUUUUUAAAAAAAAAAAAAAAAAGAAAAGAAAAGAAAAGAAGCAAACACGUGUGGCUCUACAAUUUCCCUCAUUUUAAGAGGUUUGUCUUCACUUUUCGCUUUUUUUCUGCCCAACUGCUUUACUCUCACUGGUCUUCUCAAAAAAAGACAGCCCACCGUCAUCUCCAAAGAGCACCCAAAUAAGGCAACCAGCUGGUGAAACUACAGGAGAACUACAAGCAAAUGACAGGAGCUUAAAAAACAAACAAACAAGUAAAUGCUGGACUUACCUCAGAUGACGACUCCACAUCCAUCCGCCCUCUGUUACAGAUAAACCCGUGUACAUGGUUUGGCUAACAACUCUACCAUGGAAAGAGAGUGUUAGCACCGCCCCCGUGUGGACGACAGAAGGUAGGUUUAAACUAUUGCUACUAUUUCUUGCAAAUAGUAUGAGAAUUUUUCCUUUUUCACAUUCUCGUUCACAUACCUUUCUAGAGCAACUGCAGUUUGCACAUUAUGUCAAUAAUUAUGUACAUGGAGAGCAUUUUAUAAUAUUAUAAAACACAAUAAAAAAAAGAGUCUUUAUAAACUACAUCUUAAAACUUUAAACUUUGCACUGAUGUAGGUUUAUAACUUCUCCUGAAAAAUAAUAGCAUUUAGGUUCUCAUAACAGGGACAAAGAAGUUACAUGAUACAGGGACACGCUUUGAACAAAAAUCUUAUUUCC